CACGCGAGGCUAGAGUGGCUCUUGGCAACAGGAGUGACGAUAAACUCCUAAAAUGCCGUGGGUUAUGAGUUGCUGCUCAAAAACUUCCCACCCAGGGAAGGGGGCUAGAAACAGGAAGGGGGAGUGCGGUGUCGUGGAGAGAUUGCGCACGGCUUAUGCUGGCGUAUCUUUGCUUCUUCUAAAAUAUUUUUGUUUAUUUCUAGAGAAGGAAUUUUUGGGCCUUAAAACUUUUCCAACCGUGUUGGAACUGCCUUAGCGUGUGCGCUGUGACGACAGGCGCCCACGUCUCCGCAGUUGUACGUGCCUGAAGCGUGGUUUAGCGCUUUGCAUGGAAAAGGUGUACAGCGGCGCACAGGUGUAUGCGUUUGCAGUAGGAAAGCUGUCAACAUGCAAGGUAGUCGAGGUUUGAGCAGGCUCAGGUGUGUGGGCAUCCAGAAGAACAGUGUGGGAAAAGAGCUUUUGUUUAAGUGCGGAGAGGAAAAGUUUCAAUGUGUGCGCCACGCCGGUGCAACGUAGACCUGUCUGUGAAGCAUGUGCUACGUCCGCAAAAGAAGAGCGGGAAGAAUCAGAUUUUUGAAACUGCUACGUUUUCUCUGAUGGUGACUCAUCCACCUAUAACUAGAGCAAAGAUUCCAGAUCAAAUGCCAAUGGAUGCAAUGUUGUUAAAGAAACAUUUGGAGAGAUGCGUACACGGACACCAUGAUCACAAAAACUUCAUUUCCAUAGGAAAGAAUGAAAAUAGACAUGCGUGCGUAUUAUUAUAAUCCUAGAUUCUUCAGAGUCAUAUUUCUGGAGUCCUGGCAGAAAUGUAAAAGUCGGACUGCAAUGCUGAACGUUACUGUGUGUAACCCCUCUGGGAAGACUUAAAAGGCAAAAUAGGUGUUAUCUCUGCAGCUGGGAGUGCCAGAUCCUUUUGCUGGAAGUUUUCCAGUGACCUUUGGAGUCCCUGCAGGGAGUGAAGGGCCCUAUCUCACGUCACCCGCCAGUGGUUCCACAAGAGUCGAUGCUGUCCCAUCAGCCUGUCAGUCUGGCAGUGAAAUCACUCUGCCACAGGGUCCAUAUGCUGCUGACGGGAAUUUCAGCACAGUAUUCCAGCCUAUACCCCCCCAGGAUCAUGUCCACAGUGCAAACAAGGACUGCUUAGAAAGGUUGAUGAAGCCUAAGCCACGCUGUACCAUUUUCUUUUUAAAAUCCUUUGAGAUCCAUAGAAAGUUAUGUCUAAGUCAGUGCUAAGGUUCUACAUUACUUUAGUGGCCUUCCCAAAAUGUAUUAGCUCGUCUUUGUAAACGUACCUUGUGAAAACCAGAAGAUUGGGGAUUGACUUUUUUUGAUCUCCUUGCAUGUUGACAAAGUUGUGGUUACUCCGGUAGACUACCUGUUGCCUUAAAAGCAAAUGUAUGAGUACUGCUCCAGGAUGACUGCAUACAUAUUUCUGAAGUAUUAAUGCUAAAUCAAAACACAUAUGUAAUAGACAGUUGUGUAUUUUUUCCUAUGUGAUUCAGUGUCAUAGUGCAAUGUUCAUGGAGAUAUGCUCUAGGACGGUUACCAAUAUAUGUGUUGAGCCUUAGCUACUUCAGUUAAUACUGCAAAUGAGUAUUUUUAGGAGGAGCUGAUCAUCAUAACACACCUUUGACCUCAGAGUGAAUUAUUCAUACAAGCGACGGGAUGCUAUUUUGCUAACUAGCAGGAUUUCCUUAAAUAAUGAUGCUAACCCAGAUGUAGAGCCCAGCAGUCUUUAUGCAUGGUGAGUCUACAGACACCUGUGUUACAUCGGUGUUUAGUCCUAGGUGCAGUUCUGGGCAUUUACAGUUGUGAGCCAGAGUUCCCUAUACAGCUCAUGUAGCAUCUCAGUUAAAGGCCUGAAUUCAGAGUUAACUGUGUGGAAAUACAAGUAGGGAGCUAUGUUUUUUGUUUUCUGGAUUUACCAGCAGGUUAAACCUCCUUUUUUGGAUUAUAUUGUGGAUGAUAUGAUGAGAAGUAGCCAGCCGUAUAUUAAUAGCUGCAGUCUUCAGCAAGUAUUUGGGAACACUCUUCCCCUAAAAGGAGAGUUGGGAACUGACUUGGGAGUGUGUUGUUAACUGCCAUGUUAGUGUUCUGUUACGUAAUUUGUCUGCUAGAAACUGCACCAGUUUCUGCUCAGAUCAGAGAGUCUUCAUGCUCAAUUCAGUGGUGUAGGGGUAGGGUCUGUGAAAAUAAGCUAUAUUUCCUAUAUGUUCCCUUAAGCCAUACAAUGGCAAAAUCAAAAGGAAAAGAAUGACAUUUUCUUGGCAGUUCACUUCAGAAAUAAAUUUAUUUCGAGAUAAAAGUUAAUUUAACUUUUCCGUCAAAAUAUGUAGAAAUAGCAAGGACAUGUGUGAAAAAUAAAGCGUUUCAAAUGUAGGGAAGCAGCAAUGGAAUUUGUGGAUGCUCACUGGUUGUGAUACUAGCUCAGGACAUGUGAAAGCCAAAAUUCCUAGCUUUGCCACUUAUUUCCUGUGUGGCCUUGACAAGUCAUUCCGUCUCCCAGCUCUCUAGCUAUAAAACAGAGAGUAGCAACACUGCUCCACCUCCCAGGAAGAUGUAAGCAUGAAUGAAUUAAAGACUGUGUGAGCUGUUCAUGAUGAGAAAAAACACUGAAGUUUGCAAGAUAGAGAGAAGAUUGAAAAAUAAAUUCAGGUGGGACAGAAGGCAGGUUAUUGUCUAGUCUGAGAUAAAAGACUAGAGAGUGAAUGGACAAUUUGUGGAUAGCGCAAAUAUUGAGCAUGAGGAUAAUUGAUACAUAUUAGUAGGAGAACUCUAAACAUGGUUGGAGGAAGUCUUAAGGCAAAAGUGACAGUCUAAUAAUGCAGAAGAAAAGAGUAGAGUGAGAGAUGGGGAACAAAACUGUUGCAUACUUUUUCCUGGUAUUUCAACUGUAACUUCUUUGGGACAGAACUUAGUGCGGUAUCUGAAAAGCAUUCAGAAUAAUCUGGUCACCAUGCAUAUAAUCAUUGAAAUAUGAUCCUAACCAUAAAAGAGGAACUGUGUAUGUAAUGGCUCAUUAAGCAUGUAAAAAAAUUGGGGACAGGUAAACCACUUACAGUUUCACAGCCUGAUUGUACAUGAUUACAGGUGACAAACUGGAAACAGGUUGAGUUAUGAUCCCUACUGUGAAAGGAGGUGGGUGAGCAGUAGUCAGGCAGUGUCAGGAAGUGAAAAGAUGCUCCCGGUCAACUAGUGUGGUAAUUGCAAGUGACUGAGCUCUCAGGAGAGGAGCCAGGAGUGAGUAGAGCACAAGGACAGCACGUGUUGAGGACAUGGCCACAGAGACCCUGAAGACAAGGGGAAUGAUAAGAAAAGGGAAGAGGAGUAUAGCAUAAUUUAUGUUUUUUCACCCUGGAGCUGUAAACAUUGUUUCUCCAAAGGAGAAAAGCCGUAAUGAUAAGUAAUUCAGUCAUCUGUCAUUGGACAAACUUUGCACAUCAGAAAUGCUAAUGAGUCACCAGUUGCCUUUCCCAGCUGAAGGGAAGGUCCUCUUUACUUGUCAUACCAUGCUGCAUCCUGAUCUACUGGCUUCCAAGGGGAUUGGCUUUGGCACAUAAAGCCUUUUCAUUUGAAAAUUGUCAUGGUGUGGCAGCUUUUACAUGUGCAGUAUCAUGUUUCCCCUCCCUGGGGCACAGGAGAGGGGAGAAGUGGGUGUUUUAUUACAACACAAGAAGUAAGAUGGUGGGCUGCUAGCUCUUUAUUCACCCAGAAGACUACUGCUCCAUGCCUGCCUGCUCCCAUGGUACGCUUAGGGCACCGCGCUGUCCCCAGCUGAGGAUAUUGCCCCCCCCCCCCUCCUUCCCAGGGCAGCAGUACUCCUCUUCCUGCUCCACAGUGCCCAUCCCUGCCCCUGGCCAACUCUGUCUCCUUUCCUCUCACCCCCUCCACAGGUGGGAGAGAGGAGGCGCUGGACUGUGCUGGCAUUCACAGCUAGGAGAGCUUUGCCUGCAGACAGGGCAUUCUGGAGCUUUGUCAAAAGCAAUGAAAUAUUCUAAUUUAACAAGGCAGUAAAGUAAUUGUAUAAUGGCACUCUGCUUCCUAACUGAGGUGCUGCAUGCCAUGUCCGAACUAUACUUCCAGGGCCUUGGACCAAAAGCAGAGUCCUGUAACGCCCGCUCGGCGUCUAAAGCCAGCCUGGAUGUUGUAGCUGUACACACGAGGGAACCCCUUUUGCAGCCCACAGGAGUCGAAGGCCUGAGAACAGGACAGGAGCUGAGUCUAGGAGAAGUGAAUGAGAAUUCAAUGCUCAGAUGCCAUUAAAAACCCCAGCAGUCACGAAAUUCACUUGUAUAAAGCAAAUAUAUUUGCAUUCCUUCAUGAUUAUGACUUUCUUUUCAGUUUCCUUCCCUACUAACAGCAACCAGUACAACUAACUUGGUAUAAAUGACUUUUAGUGCUGUUCAGAAGUUUGGAGCAGCUUUUCUAAUCCUUCUCUAGCUUAUAGCUACUAGAGGCAACCUCUACUUUGAGAUGGAAGAAUAGCACCCUCAAGAGUUGACAGCAGUGCUGCUUCAGGGAUCCAUAAUAUGCAACAGACAUCCUUCCUCUUUUAGCUGAAUUAACUCCCGGACACAUUGAAGUGAAGCAACAAGACAGAAAUUUUUUCUUGAUGUUAGAUCUGAAAUAUUUGGUAUCCAUCUCUGUUAAUGUGAAUGUGGAAAUAGGCAUUUGUCUGAGAGAUUAUCAGCUUGUAAACGUUUUAGUUGCCGUUGAGGGAGGGACAAAGAAAGAAUAAGAAUGCUCUUAUUUGUCGGA